GCUUAUCACCAUUCCAGAUUGAAUAUACCCGAUCUCGUCUGAUCUCGGAAGUCAAGCAAUCUCGGGCUUGGUUAGUACUUAGAUGGGUGACCGCUUGGCAAUACCAAGUGUGAUAAGCA
rfam:Ciona savignyi cont_60182, whole genome shotgun sequence.